ensembl:snoRNA SNORD115 Small nucleolar RNA SNORD115
GAGUCUAUGAUGACAAACCAAUGCCAUGCAGAGUGAUGAUGACAUAAAAAUCAUUCUCAAUAGGAUUAUGAUGAGGCC